UGUUGUCGCUGGUUGUUGUCGCU
rnacentral:snRNA from 1 species